GACGUAGGGGGCCAGCGUUGCUCGGAAUUACUGGGCGUAAAGGGUUCGUAGGCGGUGUGGCAAGUCGGUAGUGAAAUCUCCAGGCUUAACUUGGAGGCUGCUGCCGAAACUGCCGUGCUAGAGUGCGGGAGAGGCCAGUGGAAUUGCAGGUGUAGCGGUGAAAUGCGUAGAUAUCUGCAGGAACACCCGUGGCGAAGGCGGCUGGCUGGACCGUUACUGACGCUGAGGAACGAAAGCUAGGGGAG
rnacentral:rRNA from 1 species